rnacentral:rRNA from 1 species
UACGUAGGGUGCGAGCGUUGUCCGGAAUUAUUGGGCGUAAAGGGCUCGUAGGCGGUUUGUCGCGUCGGGAGUGAAAACUCAGGGCUUAACCCUGAGCCUGCUUCCGAUACGGGCAGACUAGAGGUAUGCAGGGGAGAACGGAAUUCCUGGUGUAGCGGUGAAAUGCGCAGAUAUCAGGAGGAACACCGGUGGCGAAGGCAGCCCCCUGGGCUAA